rnacentral:rRNA from 1 species
ACCUGCCCAGGAGUGGGGGACAACAGUUGGAAACGACUGCUAAUACCGCAUAAGCCCACGAUCCGGCAUCGGAUUGAGGGAAAAGGAUUUAUUCGCUUCAGGAUGGACUCGCGUCCAAUUAGCUAGUUGGUGAGGUAACGGCCCACCAAGGCGACGAUUGGUAGCCGGACUGAGAGGUUGAACGGCCACAUUGGGACUGAGACACGGCCCAGACUCCUACGAGAGGCAGCAGUGGGGGAUAUUGCACAAUGGGGGAAACCCUGAUGCAGCGACGCCGCGUGGAGGAAGAAGGUUUUCGGAUUGUAAACUCCUGUCGUUAGGGACGAUAAUGACGGUACCUAACAAGAAAGCACCGGCUAACUACGUGCCAGCAGCCGCGGUAAAACGUAGGGUGCAAGCGUUGUCCGGAAUUACUGGGUGUAAAGGGAGCGCAGGCGGACCGGCAAGUUGGAAGUGAAAACUAUGGGCUCAACCCAUAAAUUGCUUUCAAAACUGCUGGC